rnacentral:rRNA from 1 species
GAUGAACGCUGGCGGCGUGCUUAACACAUGCAAGUCGAGCGAGAAGUUUUGAACAGAUUCUUCGGAUGAAAUUUAAAAUGGAAAGCGGCGGACGGGUGAGUAACGCGUAGGCAACCUGCCCCAUACAAAGGGAUAGCAUUUGGAAACGAAUAUUAAUACCUUAUGAAACUUAACUAGUGCAUGCUAGGUAGGUCAAAGAUUUAUCGGUAUGGGAUGGGCCUGCGUCUGAUUAGCUAGUUGGUGAGGUAACGGCUCACCAAGGCGACGAUCAGUAGCCGACCUGGGAGAGUGAACGGCCACAUUGGAACUGAGACACGGUCCAAACUCCUACGGGAGGCAGCAGUGGGGAAUAUUGCACAAUGGGGGAAACCCUGAUGCAGCAACGCCGCGUGAACGAGGAAGGCCUUUGGGUCGUAAAGUUCUGUUCUAGGUGAUGAAAACUGACAGUAACCUAGGAGAAAGCCCCGGCUAACUCCGUG